rnacentral:rRNA from 1 species
UACGAAGGGAGCUAGCGUUGUUCGGAGUCACUGGGCGUAAAGCGCACGUAGGCGGAUUUGCCAGUCAGGGGUGAAAUCCCGGGGCUCAACCUCGGAACUGCCUUUGAUACAGCAAGUCUUGAGUUCGAGAGAGGUGGGUGGAAUUCCUAGUGUAGAGGUGAAAUUCGUAGAUAUUAGGAAGAACACCGGUGGCGAAGGCGGCCCACUGGCGCGACACUGACGCUGAGGUGCGAAAGCGUGGGGAGCAAACAGG